AACAAGGCGUACCUGCGGACCUGCGGAAGGAUCAUUACAUGGCGGAGAAGGUGGGCACCUGGCCAAAAAAAACUCCAGGUUGUCAUGCCUUCACGCUCUUCCACCCUUGUCUAUUUGUACCUUUUGUCGUUCCCUCGGCGGGUUUCGACCCGCCGGCGGUAACCAUUGAAAACCCUUUUUGCAGUUUAGCAUCCAAUUCUUCUGAUCAAAUAUCAAAUCGUUACAACUUUUAACAAUGGA
rnacentral:misc_RNA from 1 species